CUCUUGAUUGUGGGCGCCACGGAGUGAGAUGGAGGAAAGGGAGCUGAAACCAUCAAUCAGCAGUGUUUUUCCUGGUCAUGAAUGGGGUUGAAAGUCCUCUACACAGUAGGCAAGGUGACUGAACUCCUUGACCAGCAUGCACCCUGAAACAUGACGUUCAAACCCUGCAGAGCACAGGGGCUGAUACCCUAAACUUUCCAAACGCAGUGUUUCUUGGUAAGAAAUAUGAUGCAGGGACUCCUGUAGUGCAAAGUGACUGUUGGAUUGAUGGAGAUGUGCAAUACUCAAUCUGGGGGAAGCCUGAGGAUUUUAUGAAAAUAAAGAUGGAGUGAAGCUGUAUCCUGUUUCCUGACCUAUAAUCCUGCCAAGGAAGUUCUCCAGUAGCAUCUUGUAAACCUGCUUUGAAGCAAUCCCUUCAUCUUUUGCUGCUUGUUUUCUACAGCUGGAGUGCAGUAUCCAGUUCAGUUUGAAGAUGUUCCGAGACUUCUGGUCCAUAACCUUUUGGUUUUGUUCCCAAGAAGCCACGUAGUAACAUGGUCAUUAGUUACACAAACACUGCUUUUGUAUGAUUCUGUGGCAACUUGAAAUAAAACUGAAUAGUUA